rnacentral:pre_miRNA from 1 species
UUAUUAUUCUUUCCGUUCAACAAAAGAUGUCUCAAGUUUGUCAAAAUUUGAAUGUAUUUAGAUAUAACUUAGUGUAUAGAUGCAUUUAAAUUUAAUCAAAGUUAAUACAUUCUUUGUUGGACGGAGUAAGUACAUG